rnacentral:lncRNA from 1 species
GAAGCUGUCAAUGGAGGUGUCCAAGGAGACGUGGGUGUGCAGCACCGACUUCAUACGGUGGCUACCGGAGAGACCUGUGCCCGCAGGCGGCGGCAAAAGGCUCACCGGAGAGACGUAUACGAAGUCCAAGCCGAAGCCGAAGCCUUCUCCAUCGCUUAUGCAGCCGCCACGGUCGUCGUGCUCUUUCCCGGCGGUGGGCGGCGCCGCCGGAGUGUCGAUGGCGACAAUGAUUGAGCAGAAGCUGAUGGGGUCCAAAUC